AAGCCAAGUUGUCAUCCCCAGCAUGAUAUAAUAGACGCGGUAUUGAAAUAUGCAAUUGCUCUUCUAAAUAAAUAAUGAAUGGGAUCUGCAAGCGCACAGAUUAAUACCGAUGUAGCAUUUUAAUCGGGAAGUAUUCCAGGUAUCGUUAUUUAUAUUUUUACCACUGGGAAGGGAUUAGCAAUCAUCAAUAUUGAUUACAGAAUAGA
rnacentral:lncRNA from 1 species